rnacentral:misc_RNA from 1 species
GUCGUAACAAGGUAGCCGUACGGGAACGUGCGGCUGGAUCACCUCCUUUCUAAGGAGAAUAGGACGUAAGUCCUAAGGUCAAUCACUGGUUGUCUGUAUAGACUGAUAUUCUACUCAGCUGUGAAAUAGUCAUAAUUUUUUAGGCUUUUUGAAAAUUGUAUAGCAAGCGCAAUUGCAAAGUAUUCAUAUAGUUCAAGCUACUAAGGGCUAUUGGUGGAUGCCUUGGC